rnacentral:rRNA from 1 species
UAGGAAUUUUCGUCAAUGGGGACCGUGCACGAGCAAUGCCGCGUGUGUGAAGAAGGUCUUCGGAUCGUAAAGCACUGUUGUAAGUGAAGAAUGCCAUAUAGAGGAAAUGCUAUGUGGGUGACGGUAGCUUACCAGAAAGCCACGGCUAACUACGUGCCAGCAGCCGCGGUAAUACGUAGGUGGCAAGCGUUAUCCGGAAUCAUUGGGCGUAAAGGGUGCGUAGGUGGCACGAUAAGUCUGAAGUAAAAGGCAACAGCUCAACUGUUGUAUGCUUUGGAAACUGUCGAGCUAGAGUGCAGAAGAGGGCGAUGGAAUUCCAUGUGUAGCGGUAAAAUGCGUAGAUAUAUGGAGGAACACCAGUGGCGAAGGCGGUCGCCUGGUCUGUAACUGACACUGAUGCACGAAAGCGUGGGGAGCAAAUAGGAUUAGAUACC